rnacentral:rRNA from 1 species
UGGGGAAUCUUGCACAAUGGGCGAAAGCCUGAUGCAGCCAUGCCGCGUGAAUGAUGAAGGCCUUAGGGUUGUAAAAUCUUUCGCUAGGGAUGAUAAUGAC